ACUGACCUUUCUGAAGGAAGAAGGACCUACGGCGCACGCAAGGUAAGAAAAGGGAGGGCUUUUGCGGCGUGUAGUGUUGCUGUCUGGUGGGUUUUUUUUCAACUAAAAAAAAGACCCUCCUCCACCAGCAGCAGCAGCAGCAGAGGCAGAUGGAGGAGGGGCGGAGGCUACGGUAAUUGGGGUGAGGGUGCCGGUCGGAGAGCAGCGCUCGGGGGCACUACGGCAGCACCACCUUCGCGAGGUUCUGGCGGAAGGUGGCGAGGCGGUGGUGGCGGCGGAGGAGGCGGGGCCGGAGGGGGCGCGCCCGCAGGUGGAGCGCGAGUGUCGGCGCUGCGCGCCCCAGGCUUCUGCGGCCCCUGGAGGAGGAGCGCGCCGGUGUCGCGGUCGGCGCCGUCGAGUGCGCUGUCGCCUUCGACGCGGUGCAGAUGCUAUAGCUGCGCGACGAGCGGCUGGAGCCGUAGCUGCAGCGCAGGAGGAGGAGCGGCGACGUACGGUCCCCCGCGCGGAGGCGUAGGCUACGGCAGCCCGAGCCAGGGGGCUAGAGCUCCAGGAGGUUGCGGCGCCUGCCCCACCAUCGAGGCGGAGGCUCCAGGCGCAGCAGGGGGCACAACGUGGGCGACGGCAACGGCAGUGGCAGUGGCUUCGGGGGGCGUCUCGACCUCUGCUGCCUGGGCCGCAGCAACGUUUAUGGCUCCCACUGUCCAGUCUGACACGUCUUCAAGGGACUUGUAUUACUAAAGACGGGUUUACCAUGUUUCGCCGGAUGGAGAUCAGUGGUAGCUUUUCGUGAGGCACUGUUCAAGGUCCUAUUCUCAAGUCGACUUUGUCCCUUGAAGGCAAACUUGUAAGGUUGAUCUUCACGAGGUUGGUCACCUAAAAGGUCAGGACAUCCGUCGGGAGCUUCUAACUCGUUACGACUGCAGAGUAGAUGACACCGUAGAAGAGUACGAGGAGUUCGUACCAGUCGAGGUAGCUAGGUGUGAUAACUAAAAGACCCUCGAAAUAGAGGAGCCUGAAACGGACUUUUUGAAUGUCCCCGAAGUCUCGGUAGAGGAAUGAGAUCAUGUAAGUCUUCAGGAUAAGAAUACGGUUCCUUAUGGUCACGGGGAGGUAGCGGUGAGGGUUUCAAUAAGGGUCUUUUGGUUUAAAGUGCAUGACUUCAGUUACCUUCACGAUCAAACGUAGGUAAUGGUGAAGGAGGGUCACGAUAUUCGGGUUACGUUUGUAGAAAGUCGUUGGUCGGACGAGGUUUUCAACUUUACGGAAGCCACAGAACAGUCACCGUUUUUCCUUUUGAAGAUCCAUCACCAUGUAAACCGACACAUAUACUUCGAUGGUUAUCCUUGUGACCUCGAGAAACACGUUACUUUCUCCAGUUGUAUUAAGGACUACUACGAUUUAGACGGCUCAGCAACUUAGUUGACCUCGUCCUUUAUUUCAAGGAUUCAGUUAAAUUUGUACUUUUGUAUCAAGUCAUAAUACCGUCACUGUGAUAACUUCUAGCAAAGAUGUAAAUGGACCUUAUACAUGUAGGCCCAAGCUAAUUAUUCAUACAGUUUGUUGUAAUACCUCGUUAUUGUCUUAGUCAAUAGGCAUUGAAGUGGGCUGUAUAAGAAUCUCCGGAUCGAAAAGACGUACCGGUUUUCUAAUACGUAUCCCUAUAGUUUCCUCGUUUAGACGAUCAACUAUAGUUACCACAUCACUUUAACCGGCUAAAACCUUACCGGUUCGUAAAUUCAUCACGUCGGGGUUUAGAAAGUAACUUCCCUUGUGGUAUGACCUACCGGGGUCUCUACCAAGUCCGAUGUGAUCGAUUUCUACAUCCUAUACUAGAAAGACAACUAUAGACCUCAGAACCAACGUGGUAGUAACUCUACAAACUACCUUUUGGAGGAACCUCACUAGAACUUCCCGGACGACGUUACAAAUUCCAAAACGUAUUUCUGGGUGGUUAAGGACUCUUAAAUAGGGAUCUCCCUUUUCUAAAAGACGUUACGACAAAGUUCUCCUUAGGUCGUCUCUCCGGCUGGCGUUCACUCAACAACCUGGUAGGUAAAUAGGCCUUAAGUUCAGUGAUGUCAUUUGUACCAAGGUAUGUACGGAAACGCCCCUAAUUUCAGGUACUAUUGCCUAUGCCAAAGUCCCUGUUUUGUAGGAGGUUCUCACUUGGUAUACACUUUCCUUCUUUAUGAUAACCACUUGGUUUGUUAAGAUCCGGUAAGCUUAGCAGUCGGAAAGCUGACUGCGGUGAUUGUUAGGUCCUUCAGCGUGGAUUAAAGUGGGGAGUUGGCAAACCAAAUCGGAGGUUAGGACCAAGGAAACGGUAGAGUUGCUUGGGGUACGUAAAAGGCUACCGCUUGGGAGUCGGAUCGGGUGACGGUUCCGGGUUGCCUUUCCUCCAAGAGAAGAUUCGUAUAUUCCACGACGUACGUUACCCAUUACGGUGACUAUAGACCCUAGAACAAGUCCACGCGUCGAGGAAACGUGUUAUGGUUAGUUCUUGACUAAUUUCGUAUUGUCUCUUCCUUCCUUUAUAUUCUCCCUUUACUUUAGAGCGCGUCGAACUUUGAAAUAUUCCUAUUCGACGAGCACCAUUAUCACCUUCCUUGUGGCAUAGGUACGUCUACGGAAGGACGUGGUUGUGAGUACACUACCUUUUGUAGUUAUAAGACGUCUGCGGCAGACUUGAAGAUCAUUAACUCGUCGUCAACGUGAACGUACAUACUAUAGGGUGUCAAAUAGCCCAACAACAUAUAUAUUAUCGUUUCUAAUCUACAAAAACAGUCCGACAGUUCUGAGUUUCAUACUACUGUUGACUUACGAGGACUUACCCCCCUCUAGGUACUCUCGUACCCAGGGGAAAGAAAGCCCCUUUAUAACGGCCGUAAAUAACACAUUGUAUCUUGAUCCUAAUCGACAUCUAUUUCGACUUUCAAGCAGAGAGAGGGAGAGAUCAUCCUUAGUCCACAUCGAUAUACAACGGUACAUUGUUAUAAAAACAAGAUGGUAGCUAAUAAAUAACUCUCUAACAUGUCUUGUCCA
rnacentral:rRNA from 1 species